rnacentral:lncRNA from 1 species
AAAAAAAAGAUAGUGUGUCAUAUUAAUCUCGAAAAGUAUUCUUUUAUGAGAUCGGCGAUUUUGUGGUUUCACGUCUGCAGUCUGCCGUGUGAAUGCCCGUCAUUCACUGCGGAUACCGUGAAGGGAGGCCGGACAGUGAGGAAGACGCCAAGAGUUUCAGAUGAUGUCCAGUACGGCACGGCUGCUCCAGCCAAUAAACAAGGUGACUAACAAUGGAAGGGGGCCAGGAAUGAAGAGAGGGAGACAGGCUAACCACCACACCACACACAGAUAGAAUACAAGGGCGGAAGAGGACAUUUUAUGGGCAGAAGCCGCCUUUCUUUUAC